rnacentral:sRNA from 2 species
CGCCCGUCACACCAUGGGAGCUGGUAAUGCCCGAAGUCGGUUUUGUUAACUACGGAGACAACUGCCUAAGGCAGGGCCGGUGACUGGGGUGAAGUCGUAACAAGGUAUCCCUACGAGAACGUGGGGAUGGAUUACCUCCUUUCUACGGAGUACAUUAAGUUACAAUUCAUUUUAGUAACAAUUACCUAUUUUACAUGGUUAUCAAUUAUUUAAUUUUAACGUCAUGUGUCGCAUGAUAACCCGACAGUAUAUCUAGUUUUGAGAGAAUUUCUCUCUUUGUUCUUUGAAAACUAAAUAGUAAAGAUAAAUUAAUAUAACAACGACAUCAAAAAAAUAAAUUAGUCAAUUUGUUUUGUGAUACCGAGUAAUUAUUAUUAAAUAUAAUAAUUUAUUAAAAUGUCUUUGAAUACAUCAACAACAAUAGGAAAAUAUUGAUCUUUUAAAUAAGUAAGAGCUUGUGGUGGAUGCCUUGGGUCUGGAAGUCGAUGAAGGACGUGAUUACCUGCGAUAAGCCUCGUGGAGCUGGAUAUAAGCUACGAUACGGGGAUUUCCGAAUGGGGAAACCUAGUUAGAGUAAUUUCUAACUGCAUCAAGAUGAAUACAUAGUCUUGAUAGCGAGACACGUUGUGAACUGAAACAUCUUAGUAGCAACAGGAAGAGAAAAUAAAUAAUGAUUCCAUCAGUAGCGGCGAGCGAACGUGGAAGAGCCCAAACCAUCUAUAUGAUGGGGUUGUAGGACUAUCUACACGAAGUUACAAAUUCUUGUUAUAGCAGAAAAAGUUGGGAAACUUUAGCAUAGAGGGUGAUACUCCCGUAUGCAAAAUGGCAAGAACUUCUGAUAGUAUCCUGAGUAGGGCGGGGCACGUGAAACCCUGUCUGAAUCUGCCGGGACCAUCCGGUAAGGCUAAAUACUAACCAGACACCGAUAGUGAACUA